CCUACGGGAGGCAGCAGUGGGGAAUCUUGCGCAAUGGGCGAAAGCCUGACGCAGCCAUGCCGCGUGAAUGAUGAAGGUCUUAGGAUUGUAAAAUUCUUUCACCGGGGACGAUAAUGACGGUACCCGGAGAAGAAGCCCCGGCUAACUUCGUGCCAGCAGCCGCGGUAAUACGAAGGGGGCUAGCGUUGCUCGGAAUUACUGGGCGUAAAGGGAGCGUAGGCGGAUAGUUUAGUCAGAGGUGAAAGCCCAGGGCUCAACCUUGGAAUUGCCUUUGAUACUGGCUAUCUUGAGUAUGGGAGAGGUAUGCGGAACUCCGAGUGUAGAGGUGAAAUUCGUAGAUAUUCGGAAGAACACCAGUGGCGAAGGCGGCAUACUGGCCCAUUACUGACGCUGAGGCUCGAAAGCGUGGGGAGCAAACAGGAUUAGAUACCCUGGUAGUCCACGCUGUAAACGAUGAGUGNUAGUGUCGCAUGCAUGCAUGUCGGUGACGCGAGCUACGACAUAAGACGACGUCCGCCGUCGGGGUAGGGUACGGUCGGCGAAGUAAAGUUAAAACGUUAAAAGGUUAAAGUUAGUUACGGACGUGAGACGUUGCCGACGGACGACGACGAGGGAGGAGG
rnacentral:rRNA from 1 species